rnacentral:rRNA from 1 species
UACGUAGGGACCGAGCGUUGUCCGGAAUCAUUGGGCGUAAAGAGCGUGUAGGCGGCCACUUAAGUCCUGCGUGAAAUCUUGCGGCUCAACCGCAAGCGGUCGUGGGAAACUGGGUGGCUAGAGUGCGGGAGAGGAAAGCGGAAUUCCUGGUGUAGCGGUGAAAUGCGUAGAUAUCAGGAGGAACACCUGCGGUGUAGACGGCUUUCUGGACCAUUGCUGACGCUGAGACACGAAAGCGUGGGGAGCAAACAGG